rnacentral:rRNA from 1 species
AAAUUGAAGAGUUUGAUCAUGGCUCAGAUUGAACGCUGGCGGCAGGCCUAACACAUGCAAGUCGAACGGUAACAGGAAGCAGCUUGCUGCUUCGCUGACGAGUGGCGGACGGGUGAGUAAUGUCUGGGAAACUGCCUGAUGGAGGGGGAUAACUACUGGAAACGGUGGCUAAUACCGCAUAACGUCGCAAGACCAAAGAGGGGGACCUUCGGGCCUCUUGCCAUCAGAUGUGCCCAGAUGGGAUUAGCUUGUUGGUGAGGUAACGGCUCACCAAGGCGACGAUCCCUAGCUGGUCUGAGAGGAUGACCAGCCACACUGGAACUGAGACACGGUCCAGACUCCUACGGGAGGCAGCAGUGGGGAAUAUUGCACAAUGGGCGCAAGCCUGAUGCAGCCAUGCCGCGUGUAUGAAGAAGGCCUUCGGGUUGUAAAGUACUUUCAGCGGGGAGGAAGGUGUUGUGGUUAAUAACCGCAGCAAUUGACGUUACCCGCAGAAGAAGCACCGGCUAACUCCGUGCCAGCAGCCGCGGUAAUACGGAGGGUGCAAGCGUUAAUCGGAAUUACUGGGCGUAAAGCGCACGCAGGCGGUCUGUCAAGUCGGAUGUGAAAUCCCCGGGCUCAACCUGGGAACUGCAUUCGAAACUGGCAGGCUUGAGUCUUGUAGAGGGGGGUAGAAUUCCAGGUGUAGCGGUGAAAUGCGUAGAGAUCUGGAGGAAUACCGGUGGCGAAGGCGGCCCCCUGGACAAAGACUGACGCUCAGGUGCGAAAGCGUGGGGAGCAAACAGGAUUAGAUACCCUGGUAGUCCACGCCGUAAACGAUGUCUACUUGGAGGUUGUGCCCUUGAGGCGUGGCUUCCGGAGCUAACGCGUUAAGUAGACCGCCUGGGGAGUACGGCCGCAAGGUUAAAACUCAAAUGAAUUGACGGGGGCCCGCACAAGCGGUGGAGCAUGUGGUUUAAUUCGAUGCAACGCGAAGAACCUUACCUGGUCUUGACAUCCACGGAAGUUUUCAGAGAUGAGAAUGUGCCUUCGGGAACCGUGAGACAGGUGCUGCAUGGCUGUCGUCAGCUCGUGUUGUGAAAUGUUGGGUUAAGUCCCGCAACGAGCGCAACCCUUAUCCUUUGUUGCCAGCGGUCAGGCCGGGAACUCAAAGGAGACUGCCAGUGAUAAACUGGAGGAAGGUGGGGAUGACGUCAAGUCAUCAUGGCCCUUACGACCAGGGCUACACACGUGCUACAAUGGCGCAUACAAAGAGAAGCGACCUCGCGAGAGCAAGCGGACCUCAUAAAGUGCGUCGUAGUCCGGAUUGGAGUCUGCAACUCGACUCCAUGAAGUCGGAAUCGCUAGUAAUCGUGGAUCAGAAUGCCACGGUGAAUACGUUCCCGGGCCUUGUACACACCGCCCGUCACACCAUGGGAGUGGGUUGCAAAAGAAGUAGGUAGCUUAACCUUCGGGAGGGCGCUUACCACUUUGUGAUUCAUGACUGGGGUGAAGUCGUAACAAGGUAACCGUAGGGGAACCUGCGGUUGGAUCACCUCCUUACCUGAAAGAAGC